AGAAGUGUUAUUUAUUUAAUAAAAAAUUAUUAAAUCUUGUCUAAAAGUAUUAAAAAGAAAUUUAAGAAAAAAUUAUAGUUUAUAAGUACUGAAAAGGAAAGUUAUAUUUAAAGAAUAGCAGGGUUUGAUUUCUGUACCUUUUGUAUCAGGUGUAAACAAAAUUAACAUUAAAGUUAGAGGUAUCUCGAAACGAGAAGAGCUAGUAGAAUUAAUAUUUCUUUGUUUCAAAAAGGUUUGGAAAUUCAUACUAGUAAUGAUAUGUUAGUCGAUUUUUGUAUAUCUAGUUUUCUAUUAAAAAAAUUUAAUUUUGCUUUUUUUUAAAAUUAAAUUAAAGAGAUAAAGUAGGAGGUAAGAGCUUCUUGCUUUUUUCAAGAAUGGUUGCAAUGUAGUUGUUAAGUGGGCUUAAAAUCAGUCAUCUUAUUAUAACGUUAAAGUAAAACUAUCUUAAAUUUUAAUUUUUAUCUUUCUGUCAUUUUUAAUUGAAAAUAUCAUUAAAUGUGAUCUUGUUAGUUAAUAUGUUUAUAUAAGUAUAAUUAAAGUUGAAGAAAAAAUUAAAUUUUAAUUAAUUUUUAAGGUAUUUUGGUUGUUUAAAAGGAAUUCGGCAAAUAAUAUCUUCACCUGUUUAUCAAAAACAUGUCUAUAUGAGUAUAAAAUAUAAAGUCUAGCCUGCCCACUGAGUAUUUAAAGGGCUGCGGUAAUUUGACCGUGCAAAGGUAGCAUAAUCAGUAGUCUUUUAAUUGAAGGCUUGAAUGAACGGUUGGAUGAGAGAGAAGCUGUCUCUUUUAUAAGUUAAAAUUUGACUUUUAAGUGAAAAGGCUUAAAUUGUAUAAAGGGACGAUAAGACCCUAUAAAACUUUAUAAGAGAUUUAUUUUAUUUUUAAAUUCUUCUUUAAAAAUUGUGAAGUACCUCUCUUAUUUUGUUGGGGCGACAUUGAUAUAAGCUGUAACUGUUUAAAUAAAAAUUAUAAUUAUCAUUAUUGUUUGAUCCUUCUUUGUGGAUAAAAAGACUAAGUUACUUUAGGGAUAACAGCGUAAUUUUUUUUGAGAGUUCUUAUCGAAGAAAAUAGUUGCGACCUCGAUGUUGAAUUAAAAUUUCAGGCAAGUGUAGCCGCUUGUUAUGUGGGUCUGUUCGACCUUUAAAAUUUUACAUGAUUUGAGUUCAAACCGGUGUAAGCCAGGUUGGUUUCUAUCUUUUGUGAAGUUGUCAGAAGCUUUAGUACGAGAGGAUUGAGUUUCUAAGAGUUUCUUAUAUUAGGAUUAAAUAUAAU
rnacentral:rRNA from 1 species